rnacentral:rRNA from 1 species
CGUUAGCGGCGGACGGGUGAGUAACACGUGGGUAACCUACCUAUAAGACUGGGAUAACUCCGGGAAACCGGGGCUAAUACCGGAUAACACAUGAAACCGCAUGGUUUCAUGAUGAAAGACGGUUUUGCUGUCACUUAUAGAUGGACCCGCGGCGUAUUAGCUAGUUGGUAAGGUAACGGCUUACCAAGGCAACGAUACGUAGCCGACCUGAGAGGGUGAUCGGCCACACUGGAACUGAGACACGGUCCAG